rnacentral:rRNA from 1 species
GAGCGGUCGUAGCAAUACGGCAGCGGCAGACGGGAGAGUAACACGUGGGAACGCGCCCUUCGGUUCGGAAUAACUCAGGGAAACUUGGGCUAAUACCGGAUACGCCCUUACGGGGAAAGAUUCAUUGCCGAAGGAACGGCCCGCGUCCGAUUAGCUUGUUGGUGAGGUAACGGCUCACCAAGGCGACGAUCGGUAGCUGGUCUGAGAGGAUGAUCAGCCACACUGGGACUGAGACACGGCCCAGACUCCUACGGGAGGCAGCAGUGGGGAAUAUUGGACAAUGGGCGCAAGCCUGAUCCAGCAAUGCCGCGUGAGUGAUGAAGGCCUUAGGGUUGUAAAGCUCUUUCGGCGGGGACGAUGAUGACGGUACCCGCAGAAGAAGCCCCGGCUAACUUCGUG